rnacentral:rRNA from 1 species
GCAAGUCGAGCGCUUCACUUCGGUGAGGAGCGGCGGACGGGUUAGUAACGCGUGGGAACAUACCCUUUUCUAAGGAAUAGCCACUGGAAACGGUGAGUAAUACCUUAUACGCCCUUCGGGGGAAAGAUUUAUCGGUGAAGGAUUGGCCCGCGUUAGAUUAGUUUGUUGGUGGGGUAAUGGCCUACCAAGACUACGAUCUAUAGCUGGUUUGAGAGGAUGAUCAGCAACACUGGGACUGAGACACGGCCCAGACUCCUACGGGAGGCAGCAGUGGGGAAUCUUAGACAAUGGGCGCAAGCCUGAUCUAGCGAUGCCGCGUGAGUGAUGAAGGCCUUAGGGUCGUAAAGCUCUUUCGCCAGGGAUGAUAAUGACAGUACCUGGUAAAGAAACCCCGGCUAACUCCGUGCCAGCAGCCGCGGUAAUACGGAGGGGGUUAGCGUUGUUCGGAAUUACUGGGCGUAAAGCGUACGUAGGCGGAUCAGAAAGUAAGAGGUGAAAUCCCAGGGCUCAACCCUGGAACUGCCUUUUAAACUCCUGGUCUUGAGUUCGAGAGAGGUGAGUGGAAUUCCAAGUGUAGAGGUGAAAUUCGUAGAUAUUUGGAGGAACACCAGUGGCGAAGGCGGCUCACUGGCUCGAUACUGACGCUGAGGUACGAAAGUG